GAUGAACGCUGGCGGCGUGCCUAAUACAUGCAAGUCGAGCGAACAGACGAGGAGCUUGCUCCUCUGACGUUAGCGGCGGACGGGUGAGUAACACGUGGAUAACCUACCCAUAAGACUGGGAUAACUUCGGGAAACCGGAGCUAAUACCGGAUAAUAUAUUGAACCGCAUGGUUCAAUAGUGAAAGACGGUUUUGCUGUCACUUAUAGAUGGAUCCGCGCCGCAUUAGCUAGUUGGUAAGGUAACGGCUUACCAAGGCAACGAUGCGUAGCCGACCUGAGAGGGUGAUCGGCCACACUGGAACUGAGACACGGUCCAGACUCCUACGGGAGGCAGCAGUAGGGAAUCUUCCGCAAAGGGCGAAAGCCUGACGGAGCAACGCCGCGUGAGUGAUGAAGGUCUUCGGAUCGUAAAACUCUGUUAUUAGGGAAGAACAAAUGUGUAAGUAACUAUGCACGUCUUGACGGUACCUAAUCAGAAAGCCACGGCUAACUACGUG
rnacentral:rRNA from 1 species